rnacentral:lncRNA from 1 species
GGGUGGUAAGGGAGUUCCAGCAAAUUAAUAGGAGUCCGGGAAGUUUUUGGGGGCUGGGGUCCAGUUGAGGAAGCCACAGGUUCCAGACUGUCAAGAGCUGCGCAGAUGAAGCUGAUGGGGCCUGGACCAUUAGUUAAGAGUCCGCUCCCCUCACCUCCGUGGUUUGGUUCAGUUUAAUGACCCACCCAGAAUGACCUAUUGCUGUCCUCGUCGGGAUCCAUCCUCUCUUAGGUGUUGGCGACCCCCGGGCCUAUCUCAGCCAGUCUGAAUAGGAAGGGAACCACGAGCCUGCCGAGCUCCCCUGACCUAGCCCUCCGCCCCGCCUUUUGUGUUUUAACCUUUUGUUUCUAUCGGCCACACCCGCCCAAAAGAGCGGCGGCUUUUCGUCUCUGUUCAGCGGGGAAGCAGCGAGGUUCCCUCCAGAUAGCGGUGAAGGGCGGCUUCCUAACUUUGUUUCCCAAGUCCCCUAACUUCGGAAUGCUUCUGCAUUGGUUCUUGCUCAGUGUCAUACCAGCGACUCCAAGAGUCAUGUCACCCACUUAGCAGGAGUACUUCUACUGAAAUGCCUUCGAAUUUCUCUUACUGGAUAUAUACCUACCAGCCGCUAGCAUGAAGAUGCCAGGACCGCUGCAAGUUAGCACUGGACAAAGUAGCAUCAACUUCUUCAUUUAGAGUUUCUUCAGUUAAAUUGCUGGGAUUUUCGACAAGGCUUUCCUUAUGUGGAUUAUUGGAGUGUGAUGCCCGAGAAUUCUCUACUUGUAGAAGCACGCCCACGGGACUGCAGAAGCCUUCACACCCACCCAGCACGCUCAGAUGGGAAUGAGUGAUGGCCAUCCAGUGACCAGCUGGAUCUGACUGCCUUACAAGACGCAUGUGUAUGAUUAAGAGAGAGACAUUCGUGACUCCCAGAUGUACCUCCUUCCUGUCCCACAGUGUUCCUGAAGGGAGUGAGUUAUGGGGUAACUUAUAACACAGCAGGCUCUUCCUCAAGAUAGCUCUUGUCAAAACAGGAAGACGAAACUCGGGUUUCCAUGAGGAGACCACAGCUUGGGAUCCUGUCUGGAUGUACAAGCAGAAGCAUCUUCAUACUUUUCCAUUUCUAACCAUCAUGCCUCACCCCACCCUCCCAAGGCGACAUCUGCAGAGAGGUGGAACCAUCUAGGGAGGCCUGCCACUGUUUGCUGAGCUCCGGGUGAGGAUGAAGACACUUUGACAUGGCCAGCUUCAGACUCGGGAUCUGUCGGUGUUAGCAGCCGAAGGAGAAUGAGGAGGAAGAGGAGGAGAAAGAGGAGGAGGAAGUAAGACAGAGGGGGACAAGAGGACCAAGAGGGCACAUGGCUGAGGAGGAGGAGAACAACAACAACAACAACAACAACAACAACAACAAGAAGCUUGGUGGAUGUGUUCCUGAGUCUCGUGAGUAGCACAUGGCAGUUGUUGUCACCUUGGGCUGAGCCGUGAAGAUUCUCACCCUCCCUUGUUGGGGAUGAACUCCGGGAUUCUAAGGAGAGGUCAGCAGGUGUUUCACAGACUGUUCCUGUUGGAGGAUUUGUCUGAUACUCUUCUCCUGAUUAGUCUGGGCUCUACAUUUCCCCAAGGGUGAAACUUGGAAGCCCUCUCCAGGAUGCAGCAGGUAGCUGAGGAGAAAACGAAGACUGACCAGCCCAGAGCUCAGAGCUUCCUCCCAUGCUCAGGAUUUACCACCAAUGCCAUUACAUCGGCCUCUUCUUGUAUGCCUCUGGAAACCACAUGUGUCCUCUGUUUGUAAUGGUUUGGCUAUGGUUGCUGGCCCCUCUUGGACAUUGUUUUCAGAACUUAAAGAAACAUUGCUUUAAAGAUUUAUUAGAACAUAUUUAAAAUAAAACCAUCUUCUCAUUUA